UACGAAGGGGGCUAGCGUUGCUCGGAAUCACUGGGCGUAAAGCGCACGUAGGCGGCUUUUUAAGUCAGAGGUGAAACCCUGGAGCUCAACUCCAGAACUGCCUUUGAUAAUGGAGAGCUUGAGUCCGGGAGAGGUGAGUGGAACUGCGAGUGUAGAGGUGAAAUUCGUAGAUAUUCGCAAGAACACCAGUGGCGAAGGCGGCUCACUGGCCCGGUACUGACGCUGAGGUGCGAAAGCGUGGGGAGCAAACAGG
rnacentral:rRNA from 1 species